CCAGGUGAUUCAGCCUACUUACACAGCUUCUGCCUUUCCAGCUGGAUGUGGUCCUAGUGACUCAUCCCUGCUCUGGGGACCUGGGGUACUUCAAAAUUGAUGUGGCUUUUUAGGGGCUCUGAUUGCUGAGUCUGGUCUGGUAGGGUAGGACAUUUAGAACCUCACGGGGGAAGAAAGGGCCUUACCAAGGGGAAACACAAAGGUUAGGGCCACCCAGGGCAGCUAGAGCCCUAGCUGAGGUCUCCCCGUGCCGUAGUCUCCAGCCUGGGAGGCACGUUCUCUGGAAGCCCACGUACCAGGCUGGCUGUCCUGGGGCAGGACUUGCCCCACCCUCUACCUGAGCCAGCGGUUCCUGGCAUCUUUUGUGCCCCUUUACCCUGUGACUUAAGACCAUGAUGUUCUUCCUUACCACACCCAUGUGACAUGCAUGUGUCCCCUGGCUGAUGUGUCCAGACAGACCUGAUCCUUAGCUCUGCCCUGUCUCCUGCGUCAUUAUCUGAGAUCAGAGCUUCUGUCCACUGUGGGGUAGUCAAAUGUGGGGACAAACACGGAGGUGGCAGGACAGGUCCAGCCAUGGUCUCUCAUGCUGCCCGGUCUGCCCGUGUGAGCUGCAAGCACCACACCACCCAGCUGUGUGACCUCUCUCUAUGACUGUGGCCUGAACAAAACAUUGCUGACAUCAGACACACCAACUGUUUUCCUGUCCAGUCUCAUCUUUCCUAGUUGCUCCCUGGAAGCACACUGUCACCAGCAUGGCUGCAUGGCAUCUGUUGGAGGUAUGUGGCAGCCAUCACCUCACCUCACUACAGCUUACACCGGCCUGUGCUUUAUGUAAGCUAGUGCAUGAUGCUGACAGCCCGGUGGUGGAACCCACAGGAGUGGCCGACGCCUGUUGACUCAACUCUAUACACUGUCCUUACCCCCGGGCUUCCCCAGUGGCACCUGAGCACUGCCUUGGCCCAUCCUGAAAAACUCUCUCCUAGUGUCACAGCGAGAGUUGGGCCCUUGGUUCUUGUACCACCUUGAGAAAGAAUUCAAACAGCUCACGAAUAGUAGUCGCAGAAGCUAAACUGAGCUGCAUCCCCAGGUCCAGUGAAAUUUCACUGAAAGAAUGCAAAGCAGUCAAGACGGGAGUCAUGAGAGAGCUCUUUCCAUGUCCUAAACUUUGCCCUCCUGACCCCAAGGUGGAGUUCUGAAGUUGGAUAACUUCAAGAGCCAUGUGACUUACUGUCCAUUGCACAUGUCUCUGCCUAGAAGUGACCUGCAAAGUCCAUCGGGGUCAGAACGGCAAUGCCAAUGACAUAGUUUAGUGAGCUUUAGUCUCUGGAGCUGGGGUCUGGCUGGCUGAAUCUAGUUCUUUCCCUAGUGUAUGUAUCGGAGGCAGCUGAAGCAUCCUUACUCCGGAAGCUGCAAGUAUAAAAUGCUAUAUUCCCAGAAUCCUGAAUUUUAACCCCUUCUUUGUUUUGUUUUUCAAGACAGCGUUUCUCUGUAAAAUAGUCCUGUCUGUCCUGGAACUCACUCUGUAGACCAGGCUGGCCUCAAACUCACAGAGAUCCACCUGCCUCUACCUCCCAAGUGCUGGGUUUAAAGGCGUGCACCAUCACUGCCUGGCUUUUUAACUCCUUCUUGUCCAGUCUUGUCUAGCUAAUCACUAAUGUCACUGUGAUUAUGUACUUAAUGUCACUGUGCAUGGGGAAGGAACAGAGUUCUGAUCAUCUCCAGGUAUGGCCAGAGCCACUGGCCGUCAGUCUGUAGAUACCUGAAGAAGAGGUGCCUGUUCAGCGGGACAGCCACAGAAGGAAGCUGUCCACAGAUCUUGAGCUCUGCACGUUAGCAGUAAGAGCUGCUUGCGGUGUACAGGACAGCAGCCACUGGGGCGCCAGGGCAGUGGCCUGUGUCAGAUGUGGAACUGAAGAUCCCAUCAUGACAGACAUGCCUCUUGAUGCUGCACACCUGGUGGUACUCACUUUCCUGGGUGAACUUGGGUCUUGUAGGGCCAACUCAGACGGUGGCUAGGCAGAGCUCUCGAGGUCAGCUCCGUGCCAUCCUCCAAGAUCACGGUACUUCAACUCUGUGCCCAGCUGUUGCCUUCUAUAGCCUCUCUUUUGUGGAGCAUGAGGUCAGUGACCACUCCCACUCUUGGCUUGGAAUGCUGUUUGAUAAAGUUGCUGGUUGGCUGGUGAGUGUUGCCUAGACAUGUGGUGUCCUAUUAUACUGGCUUUUUUCUGUUGAGUGGUGACCUUAUAGCUCUGGUAUGGGAUGAAGCAGGUCAGCAGCCCCCAGGAUCGCAUGGGUCUUGUAAAUGGGGUAGAUGUUCGGCCACUGUGGACUCCUGCCCCAGAAGCAGGCUGCCCAGGAUAUGCUGAACACCCUGGAGGACAAAAACCAUGGAGCAGACCUCAAGGGUCCCUCUGGCCCUGAAUCGGGGUCUGCUUUACAUUUGUAGCAAGAGCUCUCUCCUGAGGAGGCAGCUGAGAACCCAUGAACGGAAAGAUUGCAGAGAAAGACAUGCGAGACACGAGCCUUCCUCAAGACUGCCUGAUGACACACAGACAUUUGUAAAGGAAGCCCAAUGCAGCCUGUGGCACAUUGCUGGGACAGUUCAGGAAGAUGACAGCUAGAGGUGGCCAAGGAAGGAUGCCCCAGGAUGAAGCCCCCGUGGAGGCCUUGCAGAGGAGAGCAGCCCUGCACCAGCCACAGAGAACAAAAGCAGGCAGUCUCGUCUGGUUUGGCUCCCCUGAGACCCACUGGAACGGAAGACAGAAACAGCUGUUGUUCUGGGGAGGGGGUGAUUUGAUUUGGGAGGAGGCAGGGAAGGAAGAAAAGUGAAUAAAAUGUACAAUAUGGAGACAGUCGCACCUGACUUGGUCCCACUGGGGACCUUAUGUACAGCUGUGAGGUUUGUCCUCCGCAUCCACCCUCCCAAGGACAGAUGGCAUUUGCCAUGAUCCCCAUCCUCAUUGGUUGAUGGCUGCCCUGGGUAUCAAACCUCUAUUCUUGUGACCUCCAUCCUGUGGCAGAGAAGAGCCAAGUGACUUAAGUGCUGGGCACCCACACACAGCAUUGAGUUGGAGUGGGCCGAGGUAGGUGGUAGGGCACGCAGAGAAUCCGCUACAGACACGGCAUCCUCGAGGCCCUCAGAGCACACUGUCCUUGAACUCGAGUGCAAGAUAUAAGAAAAUAUGUGGACAAGACACCACGUUCAGAACAGACACUGUGCCAGGUGGUGCCACUGUGAGUGACGAUAGCCGCUCAGGGAGUGAGGCACUUAAUAGGUGUCCCCUAAGUGGCUCGUAAGUGACAUGGAUGCAUGAGAAAUAGAGGCUCAGCUCCCCUAUACAGACUACAGAAAGCUGGGCUCACACAGAUCAGGCCCGCUAGAGGAGACCCACUGCAUCACAGAUGGGCAGAUCAAAGCUCCUAUUUCUCUGCUGGGAAACCCAGGCCCUAGGAAGAGAGGGAACUUGCCUGUCUGUCUUAGUAAUGCUGUCCUGGUCCCCACUGCUUGAUGCUUGUAAGAACGACAAUCUAUUAUAGUCCAGGGAACACAGAGGCUUCUCUUCUGGUCAAGUUAGAAUUGCAUGUACACAGCGCUGCGGCAGGUUUUGUAACUCCUAAAAAUGAUCAGGGUUCCUGAUCUCUCUAGGUGAUUAAGGGAAACAUUCCACAUGCUGUCCUGGCCCUGAAGGUGCCCUUGACCCAGGAUGCAAAGGUCAAGGCAGGAGGAGCCCAAGGGUUCAGCCACAGGAUGCUAGCACUGCAUUUCUAGUUCAAGUGAAGAAAACCAGAAUUCAGGCUGAGUCUGAGUUGUUUGUGCUGUCCUGCUGACUGGAUUCAACACCGAACAAGCCACAUAGGGAGAAGCAAUGACCAGGGGACCCAUUUCAAGAUAAGGAGGGGAUGAGAAGAGGUGGGAGGGAGGCAGAUGGCCCAGGGAUCUUCUAAUAGGUCAAGGGAUCAGGAAGUUGGGAGAGGCAGGAGUGGCUGAGGGAGAUGGAGCCCUCAGGGGUCUCUUUCAAAACUACCAGGGCUUUGGUGCUGAAAAGGCACAGGCCUGGCAUGUAAGGGUCCUUGGUCCUUGCUUGUGUUCAUACCAACUGCUCAAGGCACCAAUUGCUCAAGGCACCAGCUGACUGACACCUUUAGACACACUGGUUUCUGUCUUUUUUCUCAAGGCCUCACCGAAGAUCCCACAUGGCCCAGAUAAAGGACAAAAGAAAGCACUUCCCACUUCCCACUGGGUGUUUGGUCCCCACCUGCAUCCAGCUCAGGCUGGAGCUUGCAGACUCCAUUCUACAGACCCCCGCUGACUGCCACCCACCCUCCCCGUUAGCUAAGCUGGACAGUUUCUCUGUUCCUCACAGCAUUCCAUUCCACAUGCGCAUAAAUUAUCUUUUAAUUGAAAGUUUAUAAGCUCUUUAAUCUUGCUUAUUGUAGCUGAGAUGAUAUGUGUUUGUACAGUUUUAUUAAAUAAUGAAUGUCCUUGCCUCCCAAA